rnacentral:hammerhead_ribozyme from 1 species
AUCCGUCUGAUGAGUGCAAAUUAGGACGAAACGUGCGUCUUGAAU